rnacentral:rRNA from 1 species
CGUGCAGGAAGAAGGUCGUUCGGAUCGUAAACUGCUUUUCUCUGGGACGAGCAAGGACGGUACCAGAGGAAUCAGCCUCGGCUAACUACGUGC